GGUCAUUAGACCUUUAAAGGGUAAUUUUUUCAGGUGGAAAGGCUAGGGAAACCGGUUCAACCAAGUUUCUCUGCAGGGGACUAGUGAAAUAGAAAGAAGAAAAUUCCCAGCAGCAGAAUAAGGAACCAGGUAUUGUAGGUGAGACAUAAACUCAAGAGAUUCACUGAGACAGGACACUUUGGGGAGGAUUUUUGUAGCAGAAGGGUCUGGUUUAACUGUGGGACUGACCAAGGGCAGAGUAAGUAGCUGACCUAGAGAGGUACUGUGAUUCUGAAGAGAAACCACGAACCAACUGCAAGAGAAGGAUCCUAUUCUAUACUCAAGAACUAUCUGGAGUGGGGAGGAACCUGAAGCAGGGAAAUGCCUAUAGUAAACCACUAUGUCCACUAGAUGGAGCCACAAACCAUCAAAAAUUUCAGAGACUGCUGCAAAGCAAGAAUUUGAUGGUGGUAUCAGAUCCACAAGAAGAAAUUGCAUUUCUAGGAGUGAAACGAAGUGUAAGGACAAGAAAAAAGCAGGAUUCAGUAUUGGUGCAUCGGGGGUAUGUGAAUGAGUGAGGCGAGACUACAUUGGCUUAAAAUCCAGUAGUUCUUUAUUGCAGCCAGAGCCCUCACAUAGCCAAGACUGGUCUCCACUGAGCUGUCACCAGGCAGCCCCCCCCCCCCCCCGGACGUGUUAUCUUUUAUAUCCCGUUCUUUCAAGCAAGAUCCACUCUGCAAUCCAGCAACUGUGGGCGGAGAGAGACCCAUUACACCAUCUUUCUGUAUUUGCGUAGCUUUUCUUCACUACCUCCUACACUUCAUCUGCCAGCAUUUUCAUCUACCCACUCUUCCAUUUUCAAUUCAGUUCCUUUUCAGCUGAUUUCCUUUACCUCUGGAAGGCUUUCCAGCAGAUUUUUCCCUCAUCACCUGACUGCUUGGCUUUCCUCAGGUCACUUUCUCACACCUGACAUAGAACUGUUCCUCUAGGUACCCACAGCACAUAAAUAAACGGAGCAGCUAACUGUUUAUUCAUGCAUCCUGCUACUGAGUUUGAAAAUACAGAUGCCUGUUUGCAUGCAGAAAUGUAAGAGUUUGGAGAGGACAACAGAUGUGUAUAGAUCACAGACUAGCCAUUAUGCCUAUGGCUGAAAAUUAAACUCCUGUUAUUGACAGCCUCAACAAAACCACCUCAGCAAAACUGAAAACGUCAGGGUCAAUGGCCAACUUCUCCUUUUGCAUAAUUUCAGCUGCACUUGUAUUUGGUCAUCAGAGACUGAAAGGCCCAAUUAUUUUCAGGUGGCUCUGUAUUUUAUGGUGUUCAGAACAUUAACUCCCAUGCAUCCUCUAACUAUCGCCAGUGUUUUGGAAAUACCAGAAUUCCUGUCCAAAACAACCCAGGAACAAUUUUACAUAAAGGGGAGCACAAGUUGAUCUGUAAAUAUGCAACCCUUCUGCCAGGUGCCAAUAGUAACAACAAGGGCUGAGAUCAGUGUGUCAAAGGCUCCUUUUCAAAAAAUAAAGACAGUGGAUUGAGCCCUCACUCAGAAGCCUACUCUUAUUUGUGGCUCUGGGAAAUAAAAUAAAGAUUCUUUACAAGCAGUUCUUUCCCCCCCCCCCCCUCUCCUCCCCACUCACAAGCACUCAGGAGUAGAGCUGAGCACAUAUUUUGGCUAAUAGUUUCAGUUCACCAAAAAAUAAAAUUUUCAGCAAAUUUACUAUUCAUUUGACACAGUCACUAAAUGGUUUCAGCCAAAACCAUUUUUUUUUUGGGGGGGGGGGGGAGGGAAACCGAGGCACCAUUCAGAGAGCAGGAAGAGCUGCCACAUCACUGUUAUGGUUAUCUUAGUCAUUAGGGCACUCACUAGGGAUGUUGGAGCCUGGGUUCAGUUCUGCCUGAUGUGGAGAAAGGAUUUGAGUUUGGGCCUCCCGCAUUGCUGGAGACAGCCAAGAGGCUAUGGGAUAUUCUGGGGUGAUGUUUUCUCAAUCUCUCCUGGUGAAGCUGUUCCACUGUGUAUCAAUAAUUAGUCAUUGGGGCAGGGACAUGAACCCAGGUCUCUUACAACCCAGCUGAGUGCCCUAAUUACUGAGCUCAAACAUAUAAGAAGGAAGGCAGAAGUAGCACCACCACCACCACCUUCUCCUCUCUCUCCCACUUUGUGAAUCUAGUCCUUUAAAAUCAUGAGGUAUCAAAAUAUUUUAUUCAACCUGAAAUGAGCUUACAAAAUUUUGGCUGAAUUUCAUAUUCACUUUGGAUCAAACUGGAAAAUUAAUUAUUCUCCCAGCUCUACUCAGGAGUCCUUCAGGAACACGAAACACAGAAAUCUUAUU